CAGCAAUUCUCAAGUAAACCCCAAAUUCAUCAUUUAAACAAAACGGUCUGAAAAUUUGGAGAAUUUCCACUCAAACUUCCCAAGGCCCAGUCUGAAAUUCUGAUUCGUUUCACCCAAAGCCACAGACCACAGAUUUUAGGCCAUUGGGGGGAGUUGUAUAGCUUACUCUUGCACAAAUGUCAAGCAGCACCAAGGGCAAUACCGUCAGCUCUUUUGAUGUUGAGGAACUCCUACAAAUUGGGACAAGAUGUAGAGAGCUAAAGAAAGAAAAAGACAUGUUGAAAGAAUCACACUCCCAAAGCUUCGGGCUAAUCAGGAGAUUAGAAGUACAUGUGAAUUCAUUAUCUGAAGCCUGCACAGAGGACAAGAAACAAAUUCAAAUGUUAGAGAAAGAACUCAAGAACUGCUCUCAAGAAAUUGAUUACCUGCAGGAUCAACUAAAUGCAAGGAACACUGAAGUGAACCUCCUCGAAGAGCAUACACAUAGCCUUGAGUUCAAAUUAGCAGACAUGGAAAAUUUACAAGAGACUUUUGACAGGUUAAGGGAUGAACUUAAGAAGUCCUAUUCAGAGCGCAUGUUCUUAAUGGAGGAACUAGAAAGCAAAGAGAUAGAGUUACAGAAUUCAGCUUUGUGCAUAGAUAAACUAGAGGAGUCAAUUUCAUCCAUGUCAUUAGAGUCUCAGUGUGAAAUAGAGAGUAUGAAGCUUGAUAUAUUGGCCUUAGAGCACAGUUUCCUUGAAGUUAAAAAAAUCCAGGAAGAAACUGUUCAAGAAAAGACUAGGAUGAGUGAGUUAAUUCAAGAGCUUGAGGUUCAAUGUCAGAAUGCAUACACAACUGUUGAAAGUUUAUAUAUGGAAAAUAAGGAACUCAGGAAGAAGCUUGAUGCAUCCGAGACAAAUACUAGGAUAUUCUGCCAGAGGGUUGAAAAAUGGCUGGAAAAGGACAGAAUUCAACUCGACUCAGAGUCUUUGUUGGGUCAACUAGAGGGAAAUUACAUAUUCUCAAAAGAAAUGAGCAGUUGCGGAGAAGUCUUGGGCCCACUCUUUUCCAAACUGGCAAUAGUAGUGGCACCAGAUGCAGAUUCAAUAAUGAAGAUGAAGAAGAUGUCACAUCAUAUACAAGAUUAUGAACUUCUUGUGAAGCAAUUAAAGGAAGAACUGAAAGAGGAAAAGUUGAAGGCAAAGGAAGAAGCAGAGGAUCUAGCUCAAGAAAUGGCUGAGCUCAGAUACCAAAUGACAGGUUUGCUUGAAGAAGAGUGUAAGCGCCGUGCUUGUAUCGAACAAGCAUCUUUACAAAGAAUUGCUGAGUUAGAAGCACAGGUUACAAAAGAACGGACACAAUCGGUGAAAUCCUUUGCUGCUCACCGGCAUCUCAAUGAAGCAAAGUGAUGUGGUGAAGGUUCAGAGGUAGCAUCCACAUGGGUAUAUUCCAGCUUCAGCUCUUACCUUUGUGCUAUGGAAUUUCCAAGAGACCAUUCCAAUGAAGGUUUGGCAAUGAUAAUAUGCAAGCAUGUCCGUAAAGAAAAGGAACCAUUUUUGUUUGUCUGUCAAGAAUCCAGUGAGAAGUCUCCUCCUAGUGUUGGAACCUCAGUGAAGUUACAUUCUUAGAAGUGGCCAAAAAGGAGGCCUUCCUUAUUUGUGGUUUGCAUAUGUCUUGUUUUGACUGAAAGCUAGCGUUAAAAGCCUUUGUGAAUUGCUUGUACGCAAGACUUCAACAUGCACCAAUACGCGCAUGGCAAAACUGACAAGGAUAUGUUGUGUUCGCCAAAACCGAGUAAAAUGUAUAAACAUCUGGGAUACCAAAACGAUGAAAAUUUGUUCUAGAAUGAAUCAUCCCAAAAUGACGGAAAAUUA